ACUACCAGUGCCGAACAUUUACGGUGCCGUCCAAUAUGCCGUGCCGUGCCGUUCUGAUUCCUCUUCCAUCCUCCUUCUCUCCCUCGAUCCUUCUUCCGCUGAUCGAUCCUCUGCUGUUCCUCUCAAUUUACCCAGCUUUUGUUCUCCCAAUCAAAUUCAACCCACCCGCGGCCCAAUCAGUUAUCCCCUUCUGUUCGACGCUCCACAUCUUGAUUCCAUCCUCUGAUUCAGGCCGCCACCAGCUCCUCCACUCCCUGAUCCGCCGGAUCUGCUCCUGUUCAAAUCUAUCAAGCAAUUGCAUCCCUCUCCAAGUGACCGACAGUCGUGCGGGUGCGGUUGUUGCUCUUUCCUCACGCUCGUGCUGGUGCCGCACGGCGGUGCCGCCCCGGCUGAUGCAUUGGUGAAAGGCAUCCUCAUCCCUCUCCAAGAUACAGGCUGCGACGCCAGCCGCGAGGGCAGCACCGCUGCUAUGAAAUUCGUCCGCGCAGAAACCGCAUUUGUUCGUUACUUUAUAGCAAUCUUUCACUCGUCAUGUCCUAACAAUGACAGCUCAUUUUUUAGCACUUCUUGUCCACAGGAUGCAGAUGAGUUCACCAAUUCUAUUACAGGCAAGUAGGAGGUUUGGGAGAUCCUCAAACCAAUGAGGAGACUUGCAUCUCCUGGCCCUGAUUGUUUUCUACACCUCAGCUUGGAGCUGGAUUGGAGAUGACGUGACCAACGUGGUAAGAAACUUCUACAUCACAGACUGCCUUGGCUGGAUAAAGACUUGGAGACUGGCUGUUGAAGAUGAAAGCACCUAGUUUUCCAGAUUGCAUAGGCACGUAAGAGCAUAAUCUCUAUAUAGAAAGGCCAUCCCGAAUCUGGAAUUUUGGAUCAGUCUGCCACAAAAAGUUAAGAGUGUGUUCCUUCAACAAGAAAUCCAAGAAUUCGCAGCAGAGAUACCAGAGGGCCAUAUGCCCCUGUAAACCAUUGAGAAGUAGAAAAUCCGAAGAACAGUAUUCGUUGCCAUAUAGUUAAAAGCAUAUGUGAACUGGGGUGAAAGCUAGCCAUUUGAUCUUAUGUCAAUAUGUCAGGUACCAUUAAUAAUAGCCCCUUGUAUAUUUGUGGUGGAAUAUCUGAUUGACCUAUUAAUGAGCCAGUGAUGACAGUUAAGUCCAGUAGGUCCUUACACUACGUACCUGCAGUGGGUUCCCUUUUACUCAUUUUCUCUUUCAUUUCCAUGAUGAAGGGGAAGCUAUUUUUCACUAUUUACUCACAUGAAAUUAUCAGAUUUAGCUCAACGCGAAGUGUACUGGUCCUUGAAUUUGGGAUCAUAAAUCCAUGAUUCGUUAUUCAAAGUUGAUUGGU